rnacentral:rRNA from 1 species
AGGGAAUAUUGGACAAUGGAGGAAACUCUGAUCCAGCCAUGCCGCGUGAUAGAUGAAGGCCCUCUGGGUUGUAAAUAUCUUUUAUCUGGGAAGAAACAAUCUUAUUCUUAAGAUCUUGACGGUACCAGAGGAAUAAGCACCGGCUAACUCCGUGCCAGCAGCCGCGGUAAUACGGAGGGUGCAAGCGUUAUCCGGAUUCACUGGGUUUAAAGGGUGCGUAGGCGGGCUGAUAAGUCAGUGGUGAAAGCUCCGAGCUGAACUUGGAAACUGCCAUUGAUACUGCCAGUCUUGAAUGUCGUAGAGGUAAGCGGAAUGUUGCAUGUAGCGGUGAAAUGCUUAGAUAUGUUACAGAACACCAAUUGCGAAGGCAGCUUACUAUGCGAUGAUUGACGCUGAGGCACGAAAGCGUGGGGAGCAAAC